CCACAAUCCUUGGAACUCAGCCUGAGUAGCUAGGAUUACAGGUGUGAGCCACAGGUGCCCGGCAACUUUUUUUUUUUCUUUAUUAGAAUCUGAGAGAAAACAUUAUUUAAGUGCAGUUGCCCAAAUAUCAAUAAUACACUGGGACUUGAAAGUAACAGAACCUGGAGGUAGUUAUAAUGUACUGAAGCACCAUAAAAUGAUGAGGAUUGUAGUUGAUAUGUUGGAUUAGUUUUGUUAAAAGCCAUUUUGAUUUUUGUAUGUACUAUUACAAAGUGGUUUCUAGCAGAGCCAUCUCAAGAAACUGUUCACUAAUCUCAGCCUUUAUUAUUGGCCUUUAAUAGUAUGACUUGAUCUCUUUUUGUCAGUAAAGAACUGCAGAGUAUAACAGAAUAUUUAUCUUAAGAAAUAAGCACUCAUUUCCUUCUAUUCUUUCAGAGAUGUAACUUUAAAUACUCUCCAAAUUUCUUUGUACUUCGAAUUAUUUGUCACUUCCUUAGUAAAUAUUUUUCUUCCUUCAAAUCUGUGAUCAAUUUCCUCUACUUUCUCCUGUAUAUUUAUGCCUUUGAUUUGGAUUUAGCAACUCUAAUGUAUUAUUGCAUAGGCGAAAAAUAAGACUUUAUUAAUGAUGCUUUAGGAUUCAAGUUUUUCUACUUUUUCUUACAAGCAAUCAUUCUACCAGUUAAGCUAUAUCUCUAGCCCUUCUUUGUAUUUUUCUACUGCAUAUUGGCUUUUUCAUUCUCUCUACUAUUUCUGUUGCUUAACUUCUUCCUUAUUUGCUAAAUUCUUUCCAGUCAACUGUUAGUCUUCUAAUAUUUUCUCUUUAGUUCUGGGAGAGAGUGGGGUUCCCUUAUUCCUCACAUUUGAUAUUAGCAACACAAAUCCUGCCUCACUUCUAGAGAUGUUUAGAUACUUUCUUUCUGCAUCUGAUUGGUACCAAGUUCUGCCAAGUCCAUAUUACAAGUAUACAUGAGCUAUUGUUUCCAAUCUAAUUGCCUCAAAACUAGUCUCUAGUACUAGUCUCAGUGCAUCCUUGCAUAUGACCAUUGAUUUCACUUUCCUAAAUAUCAAAUGUGAUUUGCCUCUGCUUAAAAAGCUACCUACUCUUUCCUGACACAAGUCCCAGUUCCAUAGUCUGACUUUCAAAGGACCUCCACAGUGUGCCCCUACUUUUCUUCCUAGCCUGAUCUUUUACUCUCUUAUACAUGUACCAGGUGCCAAUCAAACUAGAAUAUUUGCUAUUCUCUGAACAUGCCCCAGGCUUUUUUGCCUUCAUGCUACCUUGCACAUGUAGGCACUAAAUGAAUUAGAAUACCUUCAACAACACUUGUCAAAAUCCUACCCAUCCCUCCAGGGUUAGUUCACCCAUCUUUCUCAUAAUGGAAAGCCUUCUUGAACUGUUCAUGGCUUCUCCUUUCUCUGCUUCCUUUAAGUGGCUUCCUGUGUUGCACAAGAAUUUUGCUCAAAUUGUAAAUGUUUCUCUUAUUUGCAAUUAUGGAAAUUAUUAUUUGUAUAGUUUAUCUACCCUACUGGAGAAAUUGUGUAGAAAGUUUUUCACUUUGUAUCCUCAAAACAUCUUAUAUAUUACUAUGAAUAAAGAGAUAAUUAAUUCCAGUCCAUUUACCAAAUGAUCAAGACAAAGUCCCCAAAUACUUCUAAAUCACACUGAUGAUACC